GUUGUUUUUAAAAGCAGGGUAUUUAGGAAUGUUAGGAGGACAGAUGGUAGUCUCAAACUUUUUUGAAAAUAUUACAGUUUGAAACCUUUCGUUGAAUUGGUAAUCCUAAACAUGAUGUUCUAAAUACAAUGGAUAUAGGUUACCCCGCAAACUGACUGGUGAACUGACGUUACAUUGAUACUGGUGUAAGGUGUAACAAAAUUAUCAGUAUUUGAUAUGAAGUGUUGAACAAUGCAAAUGAUGUUAGACUUCCAGUGUAAUAAAAAAAAGUGUGUGGAGUUCAGUGU